rnacentral:rRNA from 1 species
CAUAGGUUUGGUCCCAGCCUUCCUGUUAACUCUUAAUAAACUUACACAUGCAAGCAUCUACACCCCAGUGAGAAUGCCCUCUAGGUUAUUAAAACUAAGAGGAGCUGGCAUCAAGCACACACCCUGUAGCUCACGACGCCUUGCUUAACCACACCCCCACGGGAACCAGCAGUGACAAAAAUUAAGCCAUAAACGAAAGUUUGACUAAGUUAUAUUAAUUAGGGUUGGUAAAUCUCGUGCCAGCCACCGCGGUCAUACGAUUAACCCAAGCUAACAGGAGUACGGCGUAAAACGUGUUAAAGCACCAUACCAAAUAGGGUUAAAUUCUAACUAAGCUGUAAAAAGCCAUGAUUAAAAUAAAAAUAAAUGACGAAAGUGACCCUACAAUAGCCGACGCACUAUAGCUAAGACCCAAACUGGGAUUAGAUACCCCACUAUGCUUAGCCCUAAACACAGAUAAUUACAUAAACAAAAUUAUUCGCCAGAGUACUACUAGCAACAGCUUAAAACUCAAAGGACUUGGCGGUGCUUUAUAUCCUUCUAGAGGAGCCUGUUCUAUAUAAUC